rnacentral:rRNA from 1 species
GAUGAACGCUGGCGGCGUGCCUAACACAUGCAAGUCGAACGGAGUCGUUUUGGAAUUCUCUUCGGAGAUGGAAUUCUCGACUUAGUGGCGGACGGGUGAGUAACGCGUGAGCAAUCUGCCUUUAAGAGGGGGAUAACAGUCGGAAACGGCUGCUAAUACCGCAUAAAGCAUUAAAUUCGCAUGUUUUUGAUGCCAAAGGAGCAAUCCGCUUUUAGAUGAGCUCGCGUCUGAUUAGCUAGUUGGCGGGGUAACGGCCCACCAAGGCGACGAUCAGUAGCCGGACUGAGAGGUUGAACGGCCACAUUGGGACUGAGACACGGCCCAGACUCCUACGGGAGGCAGCAGUGGGGAAUAUUGCGCAAUGGGGGAAACACUGACGCAGCAACGCCGCGUGAUGGAAGAAGGCCUUCGGGGUGUAAAGAUCUUUAAUCAGGGACGAAACAAAUGACGGUACCUGAAGAAUAAGCUCCGGCUAACUAUGUG